CCUACGGGGGGCUGCAGUGGGGAAUAUUGGACAAUGGGGGGAACCCUGAUCCAGCCAUGCCGCGUGUGUGAAGAAGGCCCUCGGGUUGUAAAGCACUUUCAGUGAGGAAGAACGCCUGGUGGUUAAUACCCAUCAGGAAAGACAUCACUCACAGAAGAAGCACCGGCUAACUCCGUGCCAGCAGCCGCGGUAAUACGGAGGGUGCGAGGGUUAAUCGGAAUUACUGGGCGUAAAGCGCGCGUAGGUGGCUUGAUAAGCCGGUUGUGAAAGCCCCGGGCUCAACCUGGGAACGGCAUCCGGAACUGUCAAGCUAGAGUGCAGGAGAGGAAGGUAGAAUUCCCGGUGUAGCGGUGAAAUGCGUAGAGAUCGGGAGGAAUACCAGUGGCGAAGGCGGCCUUCUGGACUGACACUGACACUGAGGUGCGAAAGCGUGGGUAGCAAACAGGAUUAGAUACCCUGGUAGUC
rnacentral:rRNA from 1 species